UACGUAGGGGGCUAGCGUUGUCCGGAAUCAUUGGGCGUAAAGCGCGCGUAGGCGGCCCGGUAAGUCCGCUGUAAAAGUCCAGGGCUCAACCCUGGAAAGCCGGUGGAUACUGUCGGGCUCGAGUCCGGAAGAGGCGAGUGGAAUUCCUGGUGUAGCGGUGGAAUGCGCAGAUAUCAGGAGGAACACCAAUAGCGAAGGCAGCUCGCUGGGACGUUACUGACACUGAGGCGCGAAAGCGUGGGGAGCGAACAGG
rnacentral:rRNA from 1 species